rnacentral:ncRNA from 1 species
CAAAGGCUUGGUCCUGACUUUACUAUCAACUUUGGCUAAACUUACACAUGCAAGUCUCCGCAUCCCCGUGAAGAUCCCCAUAGUCCUCUGCCCGAGAACAAGGAGCUGGUAUCAGGCACAUACAUCAUAGCCCAUAACACCUUGCUUAGCCACACCCUCAAGGGAAUUCAGCAGUGAUAAACAUUAAGCCCUAAGCGAAAGCUUGACUUAGUUAUAAGCCAAGAGGGCCGGUAAAACUCGUGCCAGCCACCGCGGUUAUACGAGAGGCCCAAGUUGAUAGGUAACGGCGUAAAGAGUGGUUAAGGAAAAUAUAAAAAUAAAGCCGAACACCUUCAGAGCUGUUAUACGCUUCCGAAGAAAAGAAGCCCUACCACGAAAGUGGCUUUAAUUCCCCUGACCCCACGAAAGCUGAGGAACAAACUGGGAUUAGAGACCCCACUAUGCCCAGCCCUAAACUUUGACAGUAUAUUACACCCACUGUCCGCCAGGGAACUACGAGCAUUAGCUUAAAACCCAAAGGACUUGGCGGUGCUUUAGAUCCACCUAGAGGAGCCUGUUCUAGAACCGAUAACCCCCGUUAAACCUCACCCUCUCUUGUUAUUUCCGCCUAUAUACCGCCGUCGUCAGCUUACCCUGUGAAGGUAACAUAGUAAGCAAAAUUAGCACAGCCCAAAACGCCAGGUCGAGGUGUAGCAUAUGAGAGGGGAAGAAAUGGGCUACAUUCCCUGUUCUUUCUGGGAAUACGAACAAUGUAAUGAAAUAUACAUUAGAAGGAGGAUUUAGCAGUAAGCAUAAAAUAGAGUGUUUUGCUGAAAUUGGCCCUGAAGCGCGCACACACCGCCCGUCACCCUCCCUGACCCAACAAAUCAAAGACUUUACAUCUUUCUACGUAAAGGGAGGCAAGUCGUAACAUGGUAAGUGUACCGGAAGAUGCACUUGGAAAAAU